GCUCUUCAUGCUGCUGCAGAUUGACUCUUAACUGCUGCUGAUAAUUUCUUAAGUGCUAGUGGUUCACUGCAGCUAGUUUCCCGAGUCUUUGAUUGGAUCUUGGUUUUGCUGACCUAGAUGAACCAGCUCAAGGUGGCAUGUAAUAAACUCCAGUUUCCAGGGAUUCACCAUCUCAAAGAGGAGCUGCCUUCGUGUUAUUUCUGGAAUAUGGAAAUAUAGAAAACUAAUAAAGAUGAUUUUCUAAGGUUGAGAAGAGUUCUCUUUCUCCUGAAUGGGGCCUGAUCCCCAUUUUAAUUACCACAUGCCACAUAGAAAAAUGCCUCAAACUGCACAAAUGUGAGCCCCCUUUUGGUCUUGUACAGCACUUCUGCCUCCGGAAAUUACUAUUGCUCCUCCAUCCCCUGUUUUGUAGUGAUUAUAAGUUAAAGCUUUAUUAAUAUGAAUGGAAGGCUUGCCAGAAACAUUAUACUUGAAUUUAACCACCGUGCAACUGACGUCCAUAUGUAUUUCCUUUUAUGUGACCUUGAUAGAUGUGGCUGCCUUAAUAAGGCUAAGAUGAAUGAACCAAUAAUUUUAGACAAGACGGCUGACAUGCGAGACCCUUUGAUUUACAGUGCUGUGGUAAUAAAUACCAAUGGCAUGUUUAGUUUUUUAAAUUCCUAGAUGGGUCCCAAGCUAUUUUCUUGCUCAGGUUCCUGGCUCAUAUUCCACCAGGGUGUCAGCCAUUCAUUUUAAAAUAUGCAAGUAUUGCACAACCAGAUGGUAACUCCAUAAAAAAAUAAUUUAGGUUUUUUUUAACCCCCUCUUGACAUGCAGAUCAUAAUGCAUCAAAUAUCAAAAUAGGUGAUUAGAAUUACCAAGUGUCCGAAAAACAAACUAAUAAUGGAGCAGAGGAACCAUGGUGGAUAAAAGGGAAACCAAGACUUAGGCAAAAGAACUAUGUAUCAAGAGUGAACCCAGCACUCUUGAAUAAGUAAGAUGAAGAUUAAGUCUUGGGGGAGGGAGUUGACUUUGAAAUAAAUCAGGUAAAGACAUAAGCACACACAAAGUGUAUCUUGCAUUGUCUGGUUACUCAUUGUAUCUAGCAAUUUCAUUGUAUUGGUUUCCUUCCUGAAUUAUGGGAAGUUUCUCUCCCUUAAUAAGGGGCAGAAGAGCUUAACUUCCCCACAGCCAACUGCUGCUUUCUAGUGAAAAUUCUGAAUAAUAAAAGCAAAUUCCUGCCUCACUAUUCAAUCUCAAGAGGAAAUUUUUGUUUGCUCGGGGAUUCAGCCAACUGGCCAUUUUUCUUGAGGUAAAAGAGAUCCCUUUACCAAUCAGUUUGAUCUAAUUGGGAUUUCUAGAAGCUUGCAUUUCUGGAGAAAUGAUAGUCAAAACUGAGGAAAAUUUGUGCUGUCAGAAACUGGCAAUUUUGCCUUCAGAUUUCAGCUAGGUAAUCUGAUUAUGCUCUGAGCAUCAAAAUAGGAAUAGGAUAGGAAGUUUUGAAUAUGAGCCACGUCGCCUAAGCCUGACUAACAGUAUGUCAGGAAAAAAGGAUAAGGUGUUUUCCCCAAAUCCAUUUCCUUUCCUUCUGCUGUUCUCUCUAUAUCUAAUUAUAGGCUGUAUAUUUAGAACCUCUGAUGUUGCAUCCCAUAAAGCACCACACAUAUGAAUCAGUGGUGGGUUGCCCCCAGUUCACACCAGUUCUAUAGAACCGGUAGUAAAACUGGUGGGAGGCUCCGCCCACCGACCCCACCAUCAUCAAAAUGCUUCUGCGCAUGCGCAGAAGAGAGAGAGAGCACAUGAGCACAGCUGCCCCACUGCAAACCAGUAGUAAAUGUAAGUAGAACCCACUCCUGAU